CUGGCGGCGUGCCUAAUACAUGCAAGUCGAACGGUCUUUCUAUGGAAGCUUGCUUCCACUGGGAAGAUAGUGGCGAACGGGUGAGUAACACGUGGGUAACCUGCCCAUAAGAGGGGGGAUAACAUCCGGAAACGGGUGCUAAUACCGCAUAGUUUUCUUGAUCGCAUGAUUGAGAAAGGAAAGACGGCCUUUGUGCUGUCGCUUAUGGAUGGACCCGCGGCGUAUUAGUUAGUUGGUGAGGUAACGGCUCACCAAGACGAUGAUACGUAGCCGACCUGAGAGGGUGAUCGGCCACAUUGGGACUGAGACACGGCCCAAACUCCUACGGGAGGCAGCAGUAGGGAAUCUUCCGCAAUGGACGAAAGUCUGACGGAGCAACGCCGCGUGAGUGAAAGAAGGUUUUCGGAUCGUAAAACUCUGUUGUCAGAGAAGAACAAGUUGGAGAGUAACUGCUCCAGCCUUGACGGUAUCUGACCAGAAAGCCACGGCUAACUACGUGCCAGCCGCGGC
rnacentral:rRNA from 1 species